UACACUCCUGCGGGAGGCAGCAGUGGGGAAUAUUGCACAAUGGGCGCAAGCCUGAUGCAGCCAUGCCGCGUGUAUGAAGAAGGCCUUCGGGUUGUAAAGUACUUUCAGCGGGGAGGAAGGCGAUAAGGUUAAUAACCUUGUCGAUUGACGUUACCCGCAGAAGAAGCACCGGCUAACUCCGUGCCAGCAGCCGCGGUAAUACGGAGGGUGCAAGCGUUAAUCGGAAUUACUGGGCGUAAAGCGCACGCAGGCGGUCUGUCAAGUCGGAUGUGAAAUCCCCGGGCUCAACCUGGGAACUGCAUUCGAAACUGGCAGGCUAGAGUCUUGUAGAGGGGGGUAGAAUUCCAGGUGUAGCGGUGAAUUGCGUAGAGAUCUGGAGGAAUACCGGUGGCGAAGGCGGCCCCCUGGACAAAGACUGACGCUCAGGUGCGAAAGCGUGGGGAGCAAACAGGAUUAGAUACCCCGGUAGUCCC
rnacentral:rRNA from 1 species